rfam:Linderina pennispora strain ATCC 12442 DL89scaffold_126, whole genome shotgun sequence.
UAGACAGCAAAACCUGCGCUUAGGCGUUACUUUAUCUAAAAGAUAGACGCUUGGGGUAAAGUCCGAGAGAAGCCAUGUAAGCCUCUUGCGGAGGGUCCUGCGAACAGCGGGGCGGGAGCGACCAGCAAACUGGGGGAUUUAUUCUGCCUGUUAGCGGGUCCCGCGCCUGCGAGGCUGAUUCCCAGUCUGGCGAGGGCAGUUGACGGCCAACAGCGGCCCGAUGCCCGCCGGUGGGGAGCCCGAGGCCUUGCAGCGCGCCGGGAGUCCUUGGCAGAGCCACGGUCCCCCGCCGUUGGAAAUAUGCUCUCUGGCGGCAGCUCAAUGCAGUGCAAUGCGCAGGGUGCUCGCAGCAAGUGCGGGCAUUCACCCAAUUCGGAUUAAUUUGCUAUCUA